rnacentral:snRNA from 1 species
GUACUGACCUGGCAGGGGAGACACCAUGAUCAAGCAGGUGGUUUUCCCAGGGCGAGGCUCAUCCCUUGCACUCCGGGUGUGCUGACCCCUGUGAUUUCCCCAAAUGCAGGAAACUCGACUGUUUGUUUGUUUUGU